AACAAUAUGCCCUAAGAUUUUAAUUUUAGUUCAUAGCUUAUCUUUUUGCUCCACCUUUCCUGAGAUUUUGGGGGUGGGGCGUGGAGGAAAGACUGAGUUUAAGAAUACUUUUUCUCCAGCUGCAAUUAGAGCACAUUCACAUUAACCAGAGCUGUGUAAUUUUAUCAGUCCACAUACCUAGCCCUGUACAAGUCCCUGAGAACCUCAAUACCCCCUCUAAGAACAGGGUCGGCGUGAGGGGCAUUAGAGGAGGGGCAGGCUAGUGUGAGGGAAAAUGAGCACAACGUGUUCAUGACUGAGUACUUUCUAUUGAGCACCGGACCAAGGGAAAGAGAAAUGGGUUUUUUAAAAAGCCAGUAUGGUCGUCUACAGGGCAUGUGACUGAGGAAUUUAUACUUUAUUCAGAGAAUUCCAGGAUCCAGCCCUACCUAACCUUUCCCAUUUCGUCUCCUACUACUCUCCCCUUUCUCCUCUAUUCCACGGGUGGUAACUUUUUCUGUAAGGGGCUGAGGGUAAAAGAUUUGGGCUUUGCAGGCUUUACGGUGGUAACUACUCAACUCUCCACGUAGUAUGAAGGUUAUAGACAGUGUGGUCAUGAACAAGAAGAGCUUUCUUACAAUAAAUCUUUAUUUACAAAAACAGACGGGGGGCCAGAGUUGGCCUACAGGCCGUGGUUGGCCAACUCUUGCUCUAUACUCCAAUCACAUCAAACCACUCGCCAUCUCCUCUGCCGGCUUUCAUGUCAGCAGUGCCCGUCUCUGCGUAGCUCUGUCUUGUCUAUCCUUCAUGUCACCACACCUCCAGCCUAUUCCAUAGCAUCUACUGAAUCAGACAUUCAAAUAUUUAAGCAUCCCCUAAGCAUCAGGCAAUGUAAAUAUAAUUGCGUGAAUGAUGUUCUUACUGUGUCGUUGACCAUCUCAUGAGGGCUUUAGAUAAGAAAACAGGAAAAAAAAAAGAUAAGAAAACAGGUAGUUACUUCAGAGUCUGGAAAUGGCUCCAACACGGUGACUGCAGGGUGCUAAGGAAAUAGGUGUCAGUCCACACUCUUGGGGGCAGGGGUCUGACCUGGAACAUUCUGGCGAGGAAACGAUACCUGUCAAUAAUCUGAGAGAAGUGGAUGAGAGUCAAGAACAAAGGGACACGGGGUUAGGUAGUUCUGUGUCUGAGAGAUGACAUGGGCUAUCGCAUGGGAAAUAUGGAAUGUGGGAAGCAAUCUGGAUGAGACUUCAAGGUCAACUAAACGAGAGCCGGGGUGAUGGGAAUAGAGAGGAGGAGGCGGGGCUUCAGAGAGAUUUUAAACGUAGAAUCAGCCCCUCAUUUAAAAUUCUCUACUACAGUCAUUCAUCAUCCAGCUUUCCGGCUCUCCAGACUUCACACCUAGGAGCCUCAUGCAGCCGGUGCGCCUCCCCCUGUCUCCCGGAACCACCCACAGAGCUCACAGGCUGCCUUGUCACUGUGACCAGAAUGUCAGCUGCCUCUCCACCAUGUAUGGCUGCUUUGUCCCUCUGACAACCAGAACAGGCUCUUUCUCAACGUCAAGAAAACAAAAACCUUGGAAAGGCAAGAAAGCUUCCAAAAAACACUCACUGAGCCAACUGGAAAAUGACAACUGGACCCCAGCCCUGAAGAUCAGAGGAAAGUCCUUUUCAGUCACACACAGAGAGAGAGAGAGAGAGAGGCAGAGACACAGGCAGAGGGAG